CACACACACACGCCUCCCCCAGCCUCUUCUUAGGUCCGGCGACAAAAAGUAUCCCCGCAAUUCCCGUCACACACGUUCCGUCGCUCUUUCGGUCCUCGACUCCAAGCGCAGAGUGUUACAGUGGUCAAAAGAAAAGUGUCCAGAGUGGUGCAGACUUCCUCCCUCAAGACGUGUGUGUUAGGACACCAAUCCACUGCAAGGGGAGAGCACAUUUGCACCAAAUAUGUGAGAUUUAGCUCUAGAAGAUUCCGGCCUUGUACAGACUCAGAACCCAUCUGUGUACCUGCAGAGAAGCACCUGCCAUUCUAGGCAUUUUCCACAAUACAGUUUAUUCCUCAGAACAGUAAUUGUUUAUAAAAUAUCCCUUCUGGCUCUGGCUGGGAAGAAGUUAAUAAAACUAUAAUACUGAAAUUUCUUGCAAAGAAGCCGGUGGAUAUUGCACUCUCUCAGCUACAGCCUUCACACAAGACUGGGCGACUGCAUCUUCUGGCAGCAAUGCGGUAGUGCAAGAGGAAAAGCUCCAACGUGGCAAGAGCCUGUGUGGUGCAGCCAAACUCUAAGGAGACAGCUCUCACCAUCUAAGCUUUCUGAUUGGUCCAUAUCUCUUGGUCCGUAAGAGGCACCCAUAUUGAGUAUGUCAUAGUCUGCAAGGUUUCCAGCAGCUGAGU